rnacentral:rRNA from 1 species
AACGAACGCUGGCGGCAGGCCUAACACAUGCAAGUCGAGCGCCCCGCAAGGGGAGCGGCGGACGGGUGAGUAACGCGUGGGAAUAUGCCCUUUGCUACGGAAUAGUCUCGGGAAACUGGGGGUAAUACCGUAUACGCCCUUUGGGGGAAAGAUUUUUCGGCGAAGGAUUAGCCCGCGUUGGAUUAGGUAGUUGGUGGGGUAAUGGCCUACCAAGCCGACGAUCCAUAGCUGGUUUGAGAGGAUGAUCAGCCACACUGGGACUGAGACACGGCCCAGACUUCUACGGGAGGCAGCAGUGGGGAAUCUUAGACAAUGGGGGCAACCCUGAUCUAGCCAUGCCGCGUGAGUGAUGAAGGCCUUAGGGUUGUAAAGCUCUUUCAGCUGGGAAGAUAAUGACGGUACCAGCAGAAGAAGCCCCGGCUAACUCCGUG